rnacentral:rRNA from 1 species
GACAGAGGGGGCAAGCGUUGCUCGGAAUCACUGGGCGUAAAGGGCGCGUAGGCGGGAUGGCAAGUCAGUCGUGAAAUCUCUCGGCUCAACCGAGAAACGUCGGCUGAUACUGCCGUUCUUGAGGGAUGCAGAGGAGACUGGAAUUCCCGGUGUAGCGGUGAAAUGUGUAGAGAUCGGGAGGAACACCGGUGGCGAAGGCGGCGACCUGGUCCUAUACUGACACUCAUACACGAAAGCGUGGGGAUCAAACAGG